rnacentral:tRNA from 1 species
GUUUCUGUAGUUGAAGUACAACGGUGGUUUUUCAAAUCAUUAAUUUUGGUUAGAGUCCAGGCAGAAAUU